CCUCAUUGCUGAUGAGAAUAAGUCAUCCAUUAAGUCCUUAUUUUUGACUUUUGACAUAUUAUUCUCUUCCUAACUCCGGUCGGCUGGUGAAGAAAACUCUUGAGUGAGGAGAGCACUGUUCCAGAAGAAUUUAAUUGUUCCAUGCACCUGAGAAGACAAAUGCUGAGAGAAUUUGGUUAAGAUGAUUGUUUCACCUGCUCUCACAUCAGUCCCCCAAACAAUCUCUAAGGCCGUGGUUCUCAAAAUGAGAUCCCUGGGCAUAGUAUCAGCUUCACCUGGGGGCUUGAUAGACGUGCACCUUCUUAAACCCCACCCUCAGGGACUGAACCAGAAACUGGGGUUUCUGUGUUUUCUGAGGCUUUCUAGCCUUAAAACUGGAGGCAGAGCUAGGGAGAAGGUGCUCUGCUUGUUUUUUUUUCCACCUGCCUUAACUUCUAGCUGCUUUCAACUGCUAUUCUUUUUUUAGGAGCUGGAUGUCUACAGAAAGGGAAAAGAAGAUAAAGAACGAGAAUUGGGAUUAAGCUCUUUGCAAGUCCUGGUGGCUGAGGUUCAGAACCUGCAGACAAGCCCUCACUCUUCACUUUCCCUGCUUUUGUGCCAGCAGCCUUUCCAUUACUGGGAAAAAAACUAUGAAGCGUUGUUCUGCCUUUAUUUUAGAAAAUGAGUUAUUAAUUUAAUAGCCAAACCCAGCAAGCUUUAUCUAAAAAGGAAGCCCUUCCCAAAUAUAUCACCAGAUUUGUUUUUGCUGGCUGAUCAGAAGUCAUUGAGUUAAAAUUUAAUGACCUUAGAGCAUUUGCAAAAAGCAUCUAAAUGAGCCAAUAAGAGUCCCAUAUCAUGGAGGAAGUUAAAAUAUUUAACAUUAAACUGGUUAAAUCUAGUAGUCUAAUAAACUCUGCUUUGCUUAUAAAUUCUUAGUAAUCAGCCUUCUCUCAGCCCCUUGUUGAUUUAAUCAUGACAUCUAAUCUUCCCAAUUAUUCUUGGCUAAGAGGUAAGAAAUAGAAUUUGUAAUAUGGACAAUAAAUAUAAUUACAACCAACCAAUUUCUUAGUCUAAGAGCUACUAGAUAUAUGGUGAAAUUAGACCUGCUGGUAUUACACACAGCUGUAUAACACAUUGAAGAAAAUUAGUUGAUAUAAGGAUGGCACCAGCUACUGUGUCCUGUGUAUUUUUUAUGAUUAAAAUACUGCUCUAAUCUCCUGAUGUGCAUUCUCUUUUAAUCCCCACCACAGAUCUGUGAAAUGGGCACUAUUAUUUUCUUUUCUUUUUUUUUUUGUCUUUUUUUUUGCCUUUUCUAGGGCUGCUCCCGCGGCAUAUGGAGGUUCCCAGGCUAGGGGUCUAAUCGGAGCUGUAGCUGCCGGCCUACACCACAGCCACAGCAACAUCAGAUCUGAGCCACAUCUGCAACCUACACCACAGCUCAUGGCAAUGCCAGAUCGUUAACCCACUGAGCAAGGGCAGGGACCGAACCCGCAACCUCAUGGUUCCUAGUUGGAUUCGUUAACCACUGCGCCAUGACAGGAACUCCUGGGCACUAUUAUUUUCACUUUAAAGAUGGGAAGAUAAGACCCAGAGUUACUAAGUGACUUCU
rnacentral:lncRNA from 9 species